UACAGAGGGGGCAAGCGUUGUUCGGAAUUACUGGGCGUAAAGGGCGCGUAGGCGGCCUGAUAAGUAGGGGGUGAAAUCCUGCGGCUUAACCGCAGGGCUGCCUUCUAAACUGUCAGGCUCGAGCACAGUAGAGGCAGGUGGAAUUCCCGGUGUAGCGGUGGAAUGCGUAGAGAUCAGGAAGAACAUCGGUGGCGAAGGCGCUCUGCUGGACCAUAACUGACACUCAGGGACGAAAGCUAGGGGAGCGAAUGGG
rnacentral:rRNA from 1 species